CAAACAGACCCUCUGAACUUCGUCUUCUCCAUAAACACAAUUUCCCAAAUUCACCAUAAGAAAGGAAAAAAAGCACCAAUAAAUUCAACAAUGGGAACUUUAACGAGCUGUAGUUUCAGUAUAAUGAACUUACGGUUUCGUAUGAAUCCUCCGAUUAGUUGUAAGUUCAGUCGGAGAAUCCAAAUGAAGAGAAUGUCGAAACGGAGUUUGGG
rnacentral:misc_RNA from 1 species